UACGUAGGGGGCAAGCGUUGUCCGGAUUUAUUGGGCGUAAAGAGCGUGUAGGCGGCCAGGUAGGUCUGGUGUGAAAACUCGAGGCUCAACCUCGAGACGUCGGCGGAAACCAUCUGGCUAGAGUCCGGAAGAGGAGAGUGGAAUUCCUGGUGUAGCGGUGAAAUGCGCAGAUAUCAGGAAGAACACCCGUGGCGAAGGCGGCUCUCUGGGACGGUACUGACGCUGAGACGCGAAAGCGUGGGGAGCGAACAGG
rnacentral:rRNA from 1 species